rnacentral:lncRNA from 1 species
UUUUAUCAUAACUCAAAAGUUGGAGGGUGUUAAGUAUUUUAGUUUAUUUUAUUUAGGUUUCCUAAUUCUAGUCUAGGGAUGUUUUCUUGGACAUUAAGGUUUAUUAGAUAGGUUUAUCUAGUUUGUUUAUUUAUUUUAUUCAUAGAGUUUGAGUAGGGUUAGGACUAGAAUAAGUUUAGUAUAAAUAGAUGGUUAGGAUCAUUGUAAUCAGUGUGCUCUCAUUGAUAAAUUAAUAAAAGAGUCGAACAAGUUUGUUCAUAUUGCGUGUUUGUUUAUUCGAUCGAGGGCCUGAUUUCCAACAAUUGGUAUCAGAGCUUGGCGGCUUUGAGAGUCGUUUUACGAGAAAGGGGAGCCGCCCCUUGCGGGGUUGCGACGGUAGAAAACGCCGGGGUGAUUAACAUAGGGAGAAGAAAAAAGAGGGUCGCAAGUCAGCAAAAGGUCUCGGUUCUUCUUGAACGGAAUUACAUGCGGAAGUCCGUGGAUGGUUCAUAGUUGCUAUCAAAAUAGGUCGGUGGAAUCAUGGUUGUAAAAGUCCCGCCUAGGCUCCGAGUACUCCCGGAGUACUCGCUACAAGGUAGGCUGCCGAGGCACGAGUACUGGUCUGCCAGGCCAAUUACUCCCCGAGUAAUCUCCGCCUAAGCCGAGUACUUCCCGAGUACUCCCGAAUCCGACUAGGAAGCGCCUAGCGACUUUUGCAAACAUGGGUGGAAUUAAUAUGGAUAUGUUGACUUAAUUGUUUGCAUAGGGAUCGAACCAAAGCUGGGGAUGCAUGACUUGUGGGUGCUCAUAUGCAUGGCUUUUAAAAAGCUACAUGGAAUUAAUUCAUUGGAUGAAUAAUGUUUGGGCAUCAGAAUUCCAAGCCGGUUCACAACAGUUCAGGGGCGAACGAGUGACGGAGGCGUGAUGAUGUUCGGGUCAACCAUUGUUGCGGGUAAGAACCGGUUGAGAUGACGGGGUGACCGUGAUAAACAUCGGUGUUCGUGGUUGUUAGCGAUGUUCAAAGGAAGAAGAUAAUAGGCUGUUCGGUUGUUAGUUGCGGGUUUACGCAGCUGGUAUACAACCGGUGAUAACAGUAGAUGGUGAGAACGGGUACCUUGAUCGUGUUGUUUCGUGAUAAGAGGAGACCGGCGUGUUGCGUGAAAAACGGGCGUAAGGGAUCCGUCAAAGCAGGUGGCUUUGGAUUCGGUUCGUUUAGCAGUUGAAAGAAAACGUUAUAAGCGGGUGGCUUUGUUUUCUUGGUCAGUGGAGAGGCCUCUUGGAACAAGUUUGAUCAGGAAAAGGUACGGGUGUCAAGAUAAUGGCGUUAGAGUUCAAAUCGGGUGACUCGGAUGUGACCGGGUAGAGGUCGUUGAUCCGUGAUAAGUCAAGAUGUUAGUGAACGUUUCCAGCGUAAUGCCAUGUGAGAUGUUACAAGUGUAGAGAGUUUUAUUCGGGUCCGGGGGAGGUCGAGAUGGUGAUGAACCGGCUCUAAUGUGAAGAAAGUUAUUGACAAGAUUAGGGGGGUGAUUGUUGGGACUAAUUUUGUCAUAACUCAAAAGUUGGAGGGUGCUAAGUAUUUUAGUUUAUUUUAUUUAGGUUUCCUAAUUCUAGUCUAGGGAUUUUUUCUUGGGCAUCAAGGUUUAUUAGAUAGGUUUAUCUAGUUUGUUUAUUUAUUUUAUUAAUAGAGUUUGAGUAGGGUUAGGACUAGAAUAAGUUUAGUAUAAAUAGAUGGUUAGGAUCAUUGUAAUUAGUGUGCUCUCAUUGAUAAAUUAAUAAAAGAGUCGAACAAGUUUGUUCAUAUUGCGUGUUUGUUUAUUCGAUCGAGGGCCUGAUUUCCAACAUGAGUAAUCAAGAACGAAUCCGUAUCUACAAUGGUCAUCAAAGGGUGUUGAAAUGGAUAAUUAAAAUGUAAUAAGUCUCCUUUUAUCUUCUAGAGCUUUGGUGUUAACCGAAAACGUGCAGAUAGCAUGGGGUCCCAAUCACGACCGGUCUUCUUUUUAUCAAUAAACGCAGCUUUUGUUUAGAUGAAUUAUUCUGUGGUAAGGCAGACAUCUACGUAGUCUGAGUCUCCUUUGCGCAUAUGUAAAUAUAGAGGUAGAAAGCUAGAAGAUAGUGUAGGGAAGGUUUUCUUAUCCUUAUGCAAAAAUUCCUAGAGGAAGUGACCAAAAGCCUAACACGUAUUACCACUUAGACUACAAUCCAGUCAGUUCCAUUUUGUUUUGUGAUCAAGAUUCAAUGGCACUCGUGAGUUUAUAUUGCUUUUUAGUUUGGUGGUUUGUACACAAACUAAGGAAAAGGAUUGGAUAUUCCCAUAAAUUCUCUUUCGCCAGACCCUAAAGCAUAGUUUAAGAAAGACAAGACUAUAUUUUCAUAGAAAUUUAGUAUAUCUAUAAUAAAACCAACAUUCUAGUUGGUUAGAAGAAAAACAAAAAUGAUUUGAGAUGAUUUGGUGAAAAACCACCAAGUUAACCCGUAGGUUAAUCUUGAGGGUUUGGUCUCGUCUAGAAUGGCUAAUCUUCUUUCUUUCUUUGAUGGGUGGUUCGAAGGAUCUGCAAAACGAACAACACCGUGAAGUUCGUUACAAGGAAGAGAGGUGGUGGGGGGGGGGGGGGGUUAUCUUUGUAACCACCCUCCGGCGUGAGAAUAAGAACUCGUUUUGAGGAUAAACAGGUGUGUGUUAAGAGUGAAAGAGUGAGAGAAGCGAUGAUUAAACCUGGAAAUGAAGUUCUCUAUUUAUAGCUGAAGAGUGUGGGAAGGAGAUGGGCUAAUAGGCCUUCGGCUAGGCGUCUCCAACAAGGAAUAUCCUAUUAGUCUUCUUUAACACGACCGUUAGUGUGUGCAGGGGAUCAAGAUAUUGGCGUACGAUGAUUGGAGCCACAUGUCCUUAGAGUCGUCCUUGAUGUCGGGUUUGUCCUCAGCAGUGAGUAGAGAUCAUUGAGCAAUAAACAGCACAACCUGAUUGGUUACACGUCACAAUACUUUUGUACUUUUUGUCUCCUACACGAUUGGCCAUCAUGAGAGUUGUAUGGUCAAUGUCUGACGCAAGGUGAUGAUGUGCGUUAGCUAA